GGGUGUAGCUCAGUGGUAGAGUGCUUGCCUGGCAUGUGCAAGGCCCUGGGUUCCAUCCCCAGCACAAUCA
rnacentral:tRNA from 1 species